rnacentral:rRNA from 1 species
CCUACGGGUGGCUGCAGUGGGGAAUAUUGCACAAUGGGCGCAAGCCUGAUGCAGCCAUGCCGCGUGUGUGAAGAAGGCCUUCGGGUUGUAAAGCACUUUCAGCGGGGAGGAAGGCGUUAAGGUUAAUAACCUUGGCGAUUGACGUUACCCGCAGAAGAAGCACCGGCCAACUCCGUGCCGGCAGCCGCGGUAAUACGGAGGGUGCAAGCGUUAAUCGGAAUUACUGGGCGUAAAGCGCACGCAGGCGGUCUGUCAAGUCGGAUGUGGAAUCCCCGGGCUCAACCUGGGAACUGCAUUCGAAACUGGCAGGCUAGAGUCUUGUAGAGGGGGGUAGAAUUCCAGGUGUAGCGGUGAAAUGCGUAGAGAUCUGGAGGAAUACCGGUGGCGAAGGCGGCCCCCUGGACAAAGACUGACGCUCAGGUGCGAAAGCGUGGGGAGCAAACAGGAUUAGAUACCCGUGUAGUC